rnacentral:rRNA from 1 species
GACGAACGCUGGCGGCGUGCCUAAUACAUGCAAGUCGAACGCAGUGGGGACGGGUGAGUAACACGUGGGUAACCUCCCAUCAGAGGGGAUAACACUUGGAAACAGGUGCUAAACCGAUACUGAUGGAUGGACCCGCGGGGCAUUAGCUUGUGGGUGGGGUAACGGCCCACCAAGGCCACGAUGCAUAGCCGGCCUGAGAGGAUGAUCGGCCACACUGGGACUGAGACACGGCCCAGACUCCUACGGGAGGCAGCAGUAGGGAAUCUUCGGCAAUGGGCGAAAGUCUGACGGAGCAACGCCGCGUGAAUGAAGAAGGUUUUCGGAUCGUAAAACUCUGUUGUUAGAGAGGCGGUAUCGAACCAGAAAGCCACGGCUAACUACGUGCCAGCAGCCGCGGUAAUUC